rnacentral:rRNA from 1 species
GAGUUUGAUCCUGGCUCAGGAUAAACGCUGGCGGCAUGCCUAAUACAUGCAAGUCGAACGGGAGUGCUUGCACUCCAGUGGCGAACGGGUGAGUAACACGUAUCUAAUCUACCUUUUAGUGGGGGAUAACCUUUGGAAACGAAGGAUAAUACCGCAUAAGUUCUUCAUUAUGACAUCAGAAGAAGAGGAAAGAUCCGUUUGGAUCGCUAAAAGAUGAGGAUGCGGCGUAUUAGUUAGUAGGCGGGGUAAAGGCCCACCUAGACGAUGAUACGUAGCCGAACUGAGAGGUUGAUCGGCCACAUUGGGACUGAGAUACGGCCCAGACUCCUACGGGAGGCAGCAGUAGGGAAUUUUUCACAAUGGACGAAAGUCUGAUGAAGCAAUGCCGCGUGAGUGAUGAAGGUCUUCGGAUUGUAAAGCUCUGUUGUAAGGGAAGAAUAAGCCGGGAAGGAAAUGUCUUGGUGAUGACGGUACCUUACCAGAAAGCCCCGGCUAACUAUGUGCCAGCCGCCG